UACGGAGGGUGCAAACGUUGCUCGGAAUCAUUGGGCGUAAAGCGCACGUAGGCGGCCUGAUAAGUCGGGUGUGAAAGCCCUGGGCUCAACCCAGGAAGUGCACUCGAAACUGUCAGGCUUGAAUAUGGAAGAGGGUCGCGGAAUUCCCGGUGUAGAGGUGAAAUUCGUAGAUAUCGGGAGGAACACCAGUGGCGAAGGCGGCGACCUGGGCCAAUAUUGACGCUGAGGUGCGAAAGCGUGGGGAGCGAACAGG
rnacentral:rRNA from 1 species